UGUGUGCAAAUACAGCUGUUCUC
rnacentral:piRNA from 1 species